CAGAGUGAGACUCCACCUCAAAAAAAAGAAAAAAGGAAAACCAAGCAAAAGUCACUGUCAGGGGACCUCCCACCCACCAUACAGGGGAACACUCGGCAGAGCCAGAGGCCUGGGCCCAAGUCCUGCCACCAGCUGGCUGUGAAACUGUGGUACAGCACCUUGUGUCCUGCCACCAGCCGGCUGUGAAACUGGUACAGCACCUUGUCCUCAGGUCCUUGGUUUCCUCACUUGUAAAUUCAUGGUUCUCCAUGGCAUCUCUGGUCUUCAACAUUAUUUUGCAUAGAGUCUCAGAAGCUUUAGUGUGAGCGGAUGAUAUGGGCACGAAGCAAGGCACCCAGAAGUGGGGGCAACUACUCUGCUUUCUAAAAUGCAAGGGAACCGGAAAAUCCAGGAGCCGUGCCAAAUAGAGACGGGGUUUCACCGUGUUAGCCAGGAUGGUCUCGAUCUCCCGACCUCAUGAUCCUCCCGCCUUGGCCUCCCAAAGUGCUGCGAUUACAGGCGUGAGCCACCACGCCCAGUUACGGUGUUUUUAGCAGCAAGUAAUACAAAGUGGCUUCUUCAAUACAGAUGUUCAUGCUUACUUAGCAGGAAAUUCAGAGGCAGAUGGUCUCUCCAGACAUUUCUAUGUCUCCUAAUCUUUUUGCCUGAUUUUGAGCCAUUUUGGUGAUCAUCGAGUGAGUCUACCAAGGUUGAGCAGAGAAUGGAGAGAUGGUAAAAGCCAAACUGGCCCAUUUAUGAGGUGCAGCCGCCAUGCAGAGGAAUGACGUUUUUUGAAAAUAAAAGCAAAACCUGCCUGGGUUCAUGUUUCCAAGGGAGCACUGUCCUUUGAGGUCACCUGGGAAGCAGGGCACUUUUUCCAGUGUGAUGCGUCACUCAGGUGAUUUUGAACUCUUCUCCUGGAAUCUUCCCUGGAGGUAAAUUACAAGUCACAUUCACAUCUGAAUAUGAUUUGUUUUCCUCUUUUAACUUAUUCAAGAUGUUCUCAGUUGGACAAAUAUUUUGCAAGUCUUCAUUGUAGGCAAGCAAGGGAGGAAACCACCAUUUAUUCAUCAGCAACUGCUUUCCAGGGACUUUGCAUGGGUUAUUGAGUCACCUCACAAUGACUUUGAGGAGCUGGCAUUACUAUCUCCAGUUUAAAGAUGAACAAAUGGGCAUCUCUGCAUGUGUGCGCCUAAUCUCAGCUGGUUCACCUGAGACCCCCUGAACACCCACCCUAGACCCCCGUGCUGCCCCUUUUCUGCUCCGACAAGAUGAAAGAAAUAAUCAUGAACCAGGGAAAACUCACCAAACUACAGGUACAAGUGCACAUUGGCGGGAAAGGAACUGCCAGCAAAAAGAAGAAAGUGGUUCAUGGGACAGCCACAGCAGAUGAUAAAAUCUUCAGUUCUCCUUAAAGAAGUUAGGGUUAAACAAUACCUCUAGUAUUGAAGAGGUGAAUAUGUUUACAAACCAAGAAACAGUGAUCCACUUUCACAACCUUAAAGUUCAGGCAUCUUUGGCAGCAAACACCUUCACCAUUACAGGCCACACUGAGGCAAAGCAGCUGAGAGAAAUGCUACCCGGCAUCUUAAACCAGCUUGGUGCAGACAGUCCCACUAAGUUAAGGAGACUGGCUGAAGCUCUGCCCAAAUAACCUGUGGAUGGAAAAGCGCCACUUGCUACUGGAGAGGAUGAUGAUAAUGAAGUUCCAGAUCUUGUGGAGAAUUUUGAUGAGGCUUCCAAGAAUGAGGCAAACUGAAUUGAGCCAACUUCUGAAGAAGAUAAACCUUGAAGAACUUGCUGGGAGCUGCUAUCUUAUAUUAUGACUGCAUUUUAAGAAAUUUUUGCUAAUGGAUCUGAUAAAAUCUAGAUCUGUAAUAUUUUUAAGCCCAAGCUCUUUGGACACUGCAGCUUUUUUCAUCUUUUGCUUAUACACUAUUUCAUUCUUUGCAGCUAAUUAAGCUGAAAAAGCCUGGGAAUAAAGUUUGAAACAAAGAGUAAUAAAGUUCUUUGCCUAGGAAAAAAAAAAAAAGGCCAGGUGCGGUAGCUCACACCUGUAAUCCCAGCACUUUGGGAGGCCGAGAUGGGUGGAUCACCUGAGGUCAGGAGUUCAAGACCAGCCUGACCAACAUGGUGAAACCCUGUCCCUACUAAAAAUACAAAAAUUAGCCAGGCAUGGUGGCAGACUGCUGUAGUCGCAGCUACUCGGGAGGCUGAGACAGGAGGAUCGCUUGAACCUGGGAGGCGGAGGUUGCGGUGAGCCAAGAUUGCACCACCGUGCACCAUCCUGGGCAACAAGAGCAAAACUCUGUCUCAAAAAUAAAAUAAAAUAAAAUAAAUCCCUGUCUUCAUGGAAUAUAUAUUCCAGUGAGAAGAGGAACAAAUGGAGGAACAUCCCAGUCAAGUGACAUUCCUAGUGACAUUCACCAGAACAGAGUCAAGCUUUGGAUCCCAUGUUCUGUGACUUCCUCUUCACCACGCUUCCUCCACACACGUAGCAGCUCAAGGGUUUCUGAUGAGUGGGAGGCUUGACUAGAAUUGAAUUCGAGACAAGCACAAAGAUCAUGAUGCAAAUGAAAGGGACAGAGGGGAGAGAAACAGAAAACAAAGCAUUGCACCCAGUGGAGAAGCAUGUGUGGCCAGGGAGCUGCAUGAAGGUGAAAUCAGAACCUGUCCUUGGAGCACUCCUGGAAGUAUGAGCAGGGGUGCAGUCAGGACGGCCUGACUCUCUGACCCUGUGACUGAGCCACAGGGGUCUCUUCUAUGCUUCACUGUGCUUCUUCAAUCUUGCCAUCACUGUGUUGAAAAAGCAUCCCUGGGCAUUUGUGGUGAAGCCAUUGGCAGAGCAUCAACAGUCUUUCCAAUGUACCAGUCCCACAGGGACCAGCCCCGGCUCCUUUACUUGGUUCAUCAUCCCACAAAAAAGGCUCCAGAGUGAUGAGUGGAGGGAAUGUGUAUACAAGCUGGGAGAUGCUUCAGGGAUGGGGCAUGACUCUGAGAAGCUCCACAUGCAAAACAGGGUUAUGAUGGUCUAGGAGCCAGCUGCAGGGAGGUGGGCAGCCAGGAGGUGGGCUGGGGCUAUCAGGGGAGUGACUGACUGCAAGGGCAGGCUCAAGGUGAAACUUUGAGAGGCAGAUCCCAAGGCCCUUGGAUCUGGCCUGUUACAGCAAAUGGAGGAGUAAGGCAGAAAAGUCCUCUAGGGCUGUCUUCUACUCUCUCCUCCAACAGAUUUUCACUGAGCAUUUGCCAUGAGCCAGACUCUGUUAGCUGUUGAGGUUUCAAGGGAAGGUAGAAAAGACAGAAGCAAACCAAUGAUAAAGAUAUCUAUUGUCUUUUAGUGACUUUCAUACACGCUCCCUCUCUUUUUUAUUCUGUGCAUCUCAUUAUCUAAGGGCUCGUUUUGUACCAAAUGCUUUUAUACAUCAUCUCAUUCAAAUCUCUCUGAGGUUGGAAAUGCUAUUUUUGUUUUACAGCUGUAAAAACUAAGGCCAGAGAGGGAAAGUGAGUGACCCAGGGCCCCACAGCUAGACAGAUUCAAAUCCAUGGGGUCUAUCUUAGUGACAAAGCUGGCACAUUUCUUCCCCUCCUUGUGCCUGCUGAGGUUUUUUUGUUUUGUUUUGUUUUGUUUUUUGUUUGUUUGUUUUGGCUUUUAACAUUUUACAAUAUUUUGCUAUUUUUUCCUAAUCAGGCAAUAUACAUAAAUAUUUUAACAAUCAACUAGUUUAAGAUUUAUGAAAAACAGCGUUUUCUUGCCCACCUUCUCCCAAUUCUUCCUGCUCCCCAGAGGCAGCCACUUCCAAAUGUUAGCCAGUUCAAUUCUACAUGUAAUAGGAGAACGGCAAUUUUUAUUGAUGUGUUGAUUUGAGACAUUUGGCAUCUUCCGGUGAUGAAGUUUUGUCUCUCUCUACUGGACACCAUCUGCCUCUUCCAGAUGUAUUCUUCUCACCCUGGGCAUUCUCCCAAGAGGCUGACCUGUAGGAACGCAGUGAACAGGCUACCUGAUCACUGGCUUCUGGGUUGGGUGUGGCUCAUGAGAGACAUUGGCAGGAGACUGGAUUGGAGGAAGAUGCAGGGGCCAGAGUGUUUACUCUCCUAGAUAAGCCCCUUCCUCCUCUUCUGGCAGGCAGUGCUCUCCAUAUAGCCGCUCUCUUAGGUUCUAGAAAUUGCUCCUACCUUGCCCUUGAGCUCUCAUGCCUAGAGGUGGCAAUGACUGCCUGCUACUGUCAGUGCUAGGUACUGCACUCUGUUUUCCUAAACCCUUUUCACACUUUUAUGAAUAGUCUAUUCAUUACAAUUAGAUACAACUUACCCCCACACCAUCCCCAUACAACUAUACACUCCCCUUCCAGUAUCCUCUCAAUAUAAUUAUAUCAUAUUUGUUGACAUCAUUAGUUGGACAGUAUUUACAUUAUUAAACUAUAUAAAUAUUGCUGACUACAUAGCCAAGUAGAGAGUUAUCAGUCGUGAUUGCAUUUCCUUUUCUAAACUAAUUUUUGUUUUUCCUGCGUUUAACUGCCCAUUUUAAAAAAAGACUUAGUUUUCAAUACAUAGGUCUUUAAUUCUUUCCACACACACCAUCAGACAUGUUAAAUGCAUGUACAUGUUGUUUUCCUGUUUCAAACAUUGUAAAUUCUCUGUAUCUUUUUCUUUGGGUGGGGGGCAAGUGUGAAGUAAACCAGCCUCCAGAAUAAAUAGAACUCAGUGUUAUGGAUUCUAAAAUUAAAAUCUUAACAAAUUAACAAAGUGAUGAAAACAGGAAGUUUAGCUCUCAAGGAUCCUUUAUUGGUCUUAAAGGUUUUACUCUCUUUGGCAAAUAUUGUGACCACUUUAUAGAUGCUACAUAUUCUACUAGACAAAUACUAUGACCUCUUUCAAAGUGUAUCAUCAUUCCCCUUUUAAAUAGCACAUUCGAAGUGUGCUGACUUUUAGUUCUAGGGUCUGCCUUCCCCUUACCUGCUGAGUGUCACAGGAUCUCUUCCCUCCUUGAUUAUCUCAAGGAGAUACAUCAACUUUUGGUUCAUAAAAGAAAGUCAGUCGCUUUUAUUUGUUAAAGACUUGAAGUAUGGGCUGGGCGUGGUGGCUCACGCCUGUAAUCCCAGCACUUUGGGAGGCCGAGGCAGGCGGAUCACCUGAGGUUUGGAGUUUGAGACCAGCCUGACCAACAUGGAGAAACCCUGUCUCUACUAAAAAUACAAAAUUAGCUGGAUGUGGUGGCACAUGCCUGUAAUCCCAGCUACUUGGGAGGCUGAGACAGGAGAAUCGCUUGAACCCGGGAGGCGGAGCUUGCGGUGAGCCGAGAUCGCCCCAUUGUACUCCAGCCUGGGCAACAAGAGCAAAACUCUGUCUCAAAAAAAAAAAAAAAAAAAAAUUGAAGUGUAGUAGGCCUCAAUCUCUGGCUUCCUGCAGUGUAGAUCUUAUCAACAUAAGGUCUCUAUUUAAAAAUGCUGAAAUUGUAGUCUUAUUUUUCGCAAACUUUUCCUGGAGACCCUUCCCUGGAGCCCCCUCUUAGUCAGCUACUUGCUGGACCUUUCUUUCAGCAUUAUCAGCUAUUUCCCUUUCCCUCUCCUGUGCUAGAUGUCCUGUUUCCUGGAUUCCAUACCCUCUUAUUUCUUGAUUUACUCCUUUGUUUUGCUGGAGCAGAUCUUCUAGCAGCUUUGUAAGAAAGCGUGCAUGGAAGGUAAUUUUUCUUGAGUGCCUACAUGUCUAAAAAUGUAUAUGUCCUACUAUUCACUUGAAUUGUAACUGGACAAGCUUAAAAUUUCAGACUAUAAAUGAUCUUUCCUCAAAAUUGUGAAACAUUGCUCCAUUGUUUUCCUGUAAUAAGUGUUGCUGGAGAGAAAUCUGAAGCCAUUUGAUCCCCUUUUUUUGGUUUGCUAUGUGUUCCCUAUAGAAUUCUCUUUUUAACCCUGGUAUUUUGAAAUUUAUGGCACAGGACUUUGGUUGUGCCAAAAAAGGGCACAUUUUAAAAAUUUUAUUAUUUUAGUGGUGUUUUUCAAUUUGAGAAUCUUAGCUUUUAGUUAUAGAAACUUAGUUAUAGGAACUUUUCUUUAUAUAGAAUUUCCUUCCUUCCAAUUUAUAUAUUGCCUCGGGAAUUCCUACCAUUCAAUUUGAAACUUGUGGAUUGAGCUUUUAAGUCUCUUCUUUUAUCUCUCUUAUUUCUUUUUUUCCUCUGGUUCUGUUUUCUGGGAGAUUUCUUUGACUUAUCUUUCAAUUGUUUAUUAGAAUUUUAAUGAUCCAAUUUCUUGUUUUCUGACUGCUUUACAUUAAAAACAUUUUAUUCUAGUUUUACAUAUUCAAUAUCUUCUCUCUCUUUCUAAGGAGAGUAAUCUGGUUUAUUUUUAUUUUAGAAGUUUUCUUCUCUUUCCUGCGUUGUCUCUGUUUCUCCUGGGUUCUUAUUUUUGUUGUGUCUGUUUCGGUUUCUAAAUCUUGAAGUCUUACUUUGCCUGCCUAGAGACCCUUAGCUACUUGGAAGCUCUGUGUUUUCAAGGUUGGGCUUUUAACUGGUGGGUAUCAAAGUAGGGUUAGUGGUGAGCGGGACAUUUUUGUGGGGACUCCCAUAUUUCAAUAUCUAAAGGAAUCCUUUUUUAUUUUUAUUUUUCCAGGACCAUUUAGUCUAUCCAGGGAACUAAUGUCUAUAUCUGUACCCUGGUUGGUAAAAUGCUAGCUGUGAGCGGGGGCAGGGGGAGGUGACGAAGUGGGGAUCCCUGUGUGUCUCAGUCUCCACUGUGCAAACUUACCCCUAUCCCCCGUCCCUUCAGUUUUAUUGACCCCUACUUUACACUGUGUGUGAUGACCCCAAGUCUAGAGAAUUUCAGGUUAAUUUCUCCCAGAGUGUAAUUGCCAGUCCCAGGCUGGGGUCGGGUGGAAGUGAAGUAGUAUGUAUGGGCUGGAGGGUAGUUGCUGCGGUCAAAGGGAGAAAAGGGCACAUGGAGAUCGAACUAGACCAUGUUCUGACUUUCACUCUGCUCCCCUAUUUCACACCCAAGCCUUGCACCUGUCUUUUAAGGCAUCUGGUGCCUUAGCUUAUGCUCUCAGAGUCCUGGAAGAGGACUGGCCUCUUCUCACACCCUCUUCUCCCCCUUCCCCUUGCAGGCACCCUAGCUCACAACUUACUCCUAAAUCUGUACCAUUUCUUUAUCUGCUUUCCAUCUUCCAAAAUAAUAAUAAUAAUAAUAAUAAUAAUAAAAACACCUGCUGAGAUCUCUUCUUCUGAUGUCUUUUAAUUCCUUUCCUGCCUCUGGAGGUCAAUCUGCUAUGUUUAGUUAGAAGUCCCAAAGGCCAUGCUUUGAACCAUUAGGUAAUCCUGCUUUCUGCAAGACAACUUCAGUAUCUGAGAGUUUUUUCCUCCCGUAGUAAAAACAAAGUCAUUUCCAUCUUUGUGUUUACCACAGCUGGUGGCAAAGACUCUCCUUGGCCAAGGCUUAGUCAGGCUCCUCUGAGCUCUCUUAUCGACUAGGCUUCGGCCUUGGUCUUAGUCGUUGCCGAGCCUGCACUGCCCAGUCUUGGCAAGAAUCCUGUUAAGUCAGUUUAGCAAGAAUCCCUCACCCUUGAUUUAUGAUCACCCUUAAUAUCUGAUCAAGUUCUUUAUGUACCACAUUUUCUUUUCUCACUGCACUUUCACACUUUCAUUUCUAACAUCCCUCACUUUUGAUGUAUAUAUCCUUGGCCUGCCUUUAGCAAGAAUUCUGUUAGGUCAGUUUUGCAAGAAUCUCUGUACCCUUGAUGUGUCCUCUUGGUAAUUUUUCAUCCAAUCAUCCCCAUCUUGUUCCUUGGCCCCAGCAGUCUUUGUUGUAUUUGGAGUUGAGCCCAAUCUCUCUCCCUUAUUGCACUGUCCCUAUUGCAAUAGUCCUUUAAAAAAACAAUUUUUUUUUUGGCAGAGAGAGGGUCUCCCUAUGUUGCCCAGGCUAGUCUCAGACUCCUGGCCUACUAGGUGAUCCUCCUGCCUCGGCCCUCCAAAGUGCUGGGAUUAUAGGUGUGAGCCACCACAUCCUGCAGUAAUCUUGGAUAAAGUCUUCCCUACCCUUAUAACAAGUGUCAAAAUAAUAUUAUCACUGGCAUUUGGGAAACAGUGCAGAAGCAGUGCAAGCAGGGACUGCGUGAGAAUGGGAAAGCUAGCCUUUGCCUCAAGAACACUCUGCUUGACUUCAUUAGACAGCUGCACAGGAGGUAAUUUUCUAGGGCAUGGUUUUUCAAACUGUGAGCUGCAACUAUUUACUAAGUCACAUCAACAUUUUAAAAUGAAAUAGAAUAGAGUUAGAAAAUACCAUCCUGUAUUGCCUGUAAUUAAGGGAAGUAUUGACUCAUAAAACUUUUGUUUCAGCUUAUGUGUCUGUGCACCCGGUCAAGGUGUAAAGAUGUAUAUAUAUAUAUAUAUAUACUUUUUACCAUGUAAACUGGUAAAAUAAAAU
rnacentral:lncRNA from 1 species